GAGAAGGGCGUUUGGUGGAUGCCUUGGCAGUAAGAGGCGAUGAAGGACGUGAUACUCUGCGAUAAGCUAUGGGGAGCCGAGAAUAGGCUUUGAUCCAUGGAUUUCCGAAUGGGGCAACCCACCAAAA
rnacentral:rRNA from 1 species